AUAUCUUCUUGGCCUUUUGGCUAAGACCAAGUGUAGACAUUAAUAAUAUUGCUAUUUUAAUAAUUUUUUUUUUUUGGGGGGGGGGGAUGGAGUCUCGCUCUGUUGCCCAGGCUGGAGUGCGGUGGCGCGAUCUCGGCUCACUGCAAGCUCCGCCUCCCA
rnacentral:snRNA from 1 species